ACUGGUGCGGCCAUCCGGCGGAACAACGGGUGCAGCCAUCCGGCGGAACCCCACUCAGCAGUAACAAGGAGAACUGAUCGUGGCGACGACGCGGACGAACCUCAAAUGCGUUUUGCUUAAAGAAGCCAAGAUCCAAAAGGGACGGAGCCAUCACAACCAGGAACCCCAAGUUAAAACACUCUCAGGAGAAAGCACCAAGUCAAAUCACUGGACAAGGAGCCUGCAGCAUGGAUUAAUGACCAGCACAAAAAUCUCACGGAAGAGGAGUGGAGGAGCCUGUCAUUGGAGUACAUGGGGAAUAUCUCACAUGUGCUGGGCCCGCACACCUCAUCUACGGAAUCCACAUACUAGCCUAGAGGAAGGCUUUGCGGCCCCUGACAGAUGAGGAAACUGAGGCACACGGAGAUCACAUGACCUGCCAAGGCCACAGAGCUGGUGGGGGCAAAGGCCUGGUCACCCCCUGUGGUCUGGCUCCAAAGUCCAGGCUCCUAGCCACUGGCCUCUCCUGCCUCUUGGUCCUGGAGCACCGAAGGAGAAAUCAGGCUUUACUUGUAAGAGGAAAUGAUUAGCUAGGAUGAGAGCUCCCUAAAACCUGCUCACUGUCCUGGGCCAGGAAGUCAGGCUUCAGCCUCACCCUGCCUUUGACCAGAUUCUCGAAGUGUCCACCCUCACUAGUCUCUCCAGGCCAUGGAACAAGGGUCCUGAAAGGGUCAGAGCAUCUCUCCGUGAGGGACAGUAAUGCACCCACUGUAAAGGGAGCCCUAAGGACACCAAGCUCUCUGACCAAGGGGAUCAUGGGAGGCCAGAGAGUGUGCUUUAACAAGACACAUACUCAAAAUGCAGACGAUGGUCACGUAACAUCAUGAGCUGAAGUCUUCCUGACUCAUUUCCAAGCAAUGCAUUUAACAGAAAGAUACAAGCCCGUUGGGCUGUCUCCGGGCCUGAGCAUCAGCGGUGGCAGUUAUGGCAACUUAAGCAAAUGCUCAACAUAGGCUGCCUUGGAAUAUGUUCCGGCAACUGCUUCCCCUUCUCAAACCUGACCCCGAGGCCAUGCACUUCCCCAGUCCUCUUAGCCUAGGAGGAGCCAGCCGGCCUGGCCAGGCAGAGGAAGGAGCUGGGCGCCUGGCACACCCCCGAAGCUGUCCACCUGCAGGAGGAGUGGCUCCCCUCCUGGUCUGCAUCAGCCUCAGGACUCAGGGGAGGUCCUUCCCCACCUGCAGCCAUGCUUGGGGGGCACCAACCUCACAGAGCCCUGCGUUCUCUCCGUUCCAGAAGGAAAAGCUCAGGGAGCGACGUCUCACCCCAGGAUGGACAAGGUCACACGCCUGGGUAACAUCGGGGUCAUGUCACUAAAACCCAGUCCCCCUCUCAGAAGCUUCUAGGGAUGGCGAGUGUGCUGGUGACAGUGCGAGGGGAUAAUAGUGCAAGGACUACUAGUGAUGGUGAGAGGAGUACUAGUGACAGUGCGGGGACUGCUAGUGAGUGACGGGAGGACUAGUGACAGUGACACUGUGGGGAGAGGUAGGAAUAGGAACGAUUAUUGAGCACUUGAUAGAUGCACCUGCACUGACAUUCAAUGGGCUAAUGUAUUUAAACACCUUAUUCAUCUAAUCCUCAAAACCUCUGAGGUAGGCAUUAUCUUCAUUUCUAGUUGUCAAAUGGAGGCACAGGAAGGGUGACUGCAGACGGUGAGUCAGUCUUUGUUGAAUGAGUAAGUGAACAGGUUGCCCAUGCCACAAACGCAGAGACAGCAAUAGAGAAGCCAUUAGGAUGGCAGGAGAUUAAAACCUCAGACGCGGUCUUCACAGGAGCUGCUGGCCUUCUGGGGGCUCAAGAACCCGAGCUCUUGUCUACGUUCUAGAAGCCCGCAUACCCGAGGACUCUCUGGCCUUGGCCCUGUGAUGGACAUGGGGCAAAGGCUGAGCGUUGGUGCAGUGCCACCGGCUGGGCUGGGCACGGCCACCCUCGAGCCCCACCUACCCCGGGGACCGAGGGCUGGCAGCAGCUGCUACUCCCUGGGUGACGUUCGACCCCCAGGGGCUGGGCUGCCUCUCAGGUGACAAGCAGUUGAGGAGCCAGUGUCUGGGCGUGAUGGCCACCAGGGACCUGGCUUCCUCCUGCAGCCUGCCUGUCCCAGGGUGAGACAGGACCAGCCGCUCACGCCCCACUGCUCCACCAGCUCUGCCUCCAGUCCCGGCUCUGCAAGUCCAAUGAGGCGGCCUCCACAGGCCCUUCUUGCUCCCAGAACUGCUCCUGCUUCCAGGCCCCACACAGGGCAAACGGCGGCUACCGACAUCCCCCACUGGCGAGACAAAGCGAGCGGCCCUUCUUGGCUCUGCCAAGUGCAUGCCCACCGGGAAGUGACCCCAGGGAGGGGCUGGGAGAUGCCCGCUGGCCUGAGCCAGGAGACAGUUCCCAGGGCUGCCAGCUGUGGGAGGGGCUGGGCAAAAUUAGGCUCCUCUUACCAAAAAAAGGGAGUCGAUGCCUGGUAGCAAACACCAGUGUCAGCUCAGUGCCCCGGUGCAGUGUGCUGGGGGAAGAUUGGACAAUCUUCUCCUGCCUCAGUCUUUCAUGGAGAGUCACACAUAGCUUAGUGAUGCAGAGGAGAAAAGUGCUCUAGUCAUGCAAAUUCACUCCACGUGCAUUUACAUUUUCAUCCUGCAUUUGGGCAUGGGGUAUUUUCAGCAGACUGCCAGCCUCCAAAGCAAACUAUAUUUACAGGGUGCCCCUGUGUACUCAGGGAAAGCAGCCAUGCUGUGGAGGAGAGGGCAGCCAGCCGCUGGGCUCUCUGUCCCUCUACAAACACUCUCACCCUGGUGGAUGGACCCUCCUCUGGAGCUGAAGCAGCUUCCAAUUUCUCCUCUCUGUGGUUGGAUAAUUAAAUCAAGGCAGGAUAAUAGAAUACGUUGAACAUGGAGAAAGAAGACUAGGCAAAAAUCCCAGAAGGGUAGGGGUCAGUGAAGAAAGAAUUCUAGCCUGACAUCUUGGAAAUAGGAUAUGCUAGUUUGCAAAUCUAAAUGCCCUAAACUGUCUUCAGGGAAUAGAGGGAAUCAUGGACUUUGUUAUCUUUUGCUCUGAUCUUACCCAACUCCCCACAUCACCCCCAAGACAGACUUUAUUCUUUAAUUCUGGUGUUUGGAGGACAUACCCCAACUGCAAGCCAGUCUGUGAAUCAGCAGUUUUUUCAAAGACAUGGUACCAGGUCUCUUACAUAUGUGUAAUGCAAUACUGUUAUUUAGCUUUUUCAUAUGAAAAAGUUUAAACAUAUAAAAGUAGAACAGAAAAAACAGAGAAAAAAAGCUCUUGAAUAUAAACAUGAGCAACUUUUCCUGAACACAUCUCCUUGG